ACGCUCGACACCUACGGGAGGCAGCAGUUAGGAAUAUUGGGCAAUGGAGGAAACUCUGACCCAGCAACGCCGCGUGAAGGAAGAAGGUUUUCGGAUUGUAAACUUCUGAUCUAGGGGAAGAAGGAAGUGACGGUACCCUAGGAGAAAGCCACGGCUAACUACGUACCAGCAGCCGCGGUAAUCUGAGCGGGCUGGCAAGGC
rnacentral:rRNA from 1 species